rnacentral:lncRNA from 1 species
UGGAUUUGGAGUCUGGGGUUGGAGGAUGAGUGAUUGAAAAAAUCACAUGACUGGUAACCUUGUUAUUCUGCAAAACAACUUCAAAAAUUCUAUCACUUUAUAUUCUAGUGUUUGGAAGCCUGAGGAUACAAUGAUGUAUAAGGUUAAUAGUCCCAGAAUACAGCUUACGAUCUAGUGGUGAAAAAUUCUUAUGUUGAUCACUUCUACAUAAUCAAACCCACUGAAUUGUUGAGAAGAUGCUGGAUGGUGGAGUCAAUCUCUUCAUCUUGCUAGCAACCUCAGUCUCUAGUGCUAUUUUCUUCAUUGUAGUCCUCUUCUUCCAUGAGACUUUUUGACCUAAUGAAGCCCACAGUAGAUCGUUCUUCAGGAAUUUUAAGGCUCACUUGUCUAUUUUCUUGAAGAGGGUCUAGUAUGCUAAAUAUUGUUACUGAUGAAGUGAGAAAAUAGUUUAAUUGAGUUCACAGUCAUGGGAUCAGUCAGAAGCUAGAGUUAAGGGGCCUGAAGACUGACAGCAUUGGCUGGGAUCUGAGAAAAUCAUGACAGGAAUUCCAAUAGCAGUCAUUUCACUGCUGGCUUAAUGCAGAUGAAAGAGUUCUGUUCCUAAGGAUCCCUCUCCUUUUUUAGACAUUUAAAGAUGCUUAUGUCUCAAUAGAUUAUCACUUUUUUUUGAAGCAAUACUGUCUGUAUGUUAUAUACUAAAGAUGUAUUUGGUGGUUUGAACUGAGGUUUGGAUGGGAAGGGAACAAUUGAUAAUACAUGAUUGUUCUGGUUGUGCACUGUACAAGUCCAAGGGAUGCCAUUUACUUUGAAAUCACUGCAAUGAUAUGUUCUCAUGUCAGGAUUUAUUUUGCAAGUCCUUUAAUUAGAUGACUGAUCCCCUGGGGCUAGGUAGUUGGCUAAUGAGGGUUUCCAAGCAGAAUUCCUAGACUGUUCCUUGUGGAUUCC